GGGGAUAGAAGGAAGAAGAAGAGUGCUAGCACCACCUCACCAUCAGAGAAAUACAAAGUAUGAGAAACCUGUCUCCUUAAGAGGUCGCAGAGAAGCUGCACUCCGAAAACAGCUAUGUUGGUUUAAAGCAGAGACUUGAAGGGAACAGUUGAAGAAAAAAAUAUAUAAGAGAAUGUGCUAACCAUGUAGCAGUGAAAGAGGUUUGUGAAGGAGAAGUGAGGUAAAGGACUGUGUGAGGGGAGCAGGUUAAAGGGAACUUUGGAGAUGAAAAUUCAGAAGUUUAUUAAAAGUCAUGGUUUGCGCAUUGAGUGAUGAAACAGCUUUGAAAGAUCCAGUGCAUCCAACCCCAGUGGAGCCCUGGGGGAAGGGAACACCUGGGCCCAACAUAGUUCAGCUGUGGCCUGGAAGUGAGACCCUUCCUGUGGUUGACAUUCAGGACUGGCCCUCCGCCAUCAGCCAGCACUGGCAGGUGCCGUGGGCAUGUCUGUGGUUGGCAGCAAUGAGCACAAAACACCUGGUUCUUCAUGGCCAGUCAAUCUGGGCAAUUCUCAUUGGCAUUCCAGGUGGUUGGACCAAGAUGCAUCAUGAUCAUGGGGCCAGCAUCCUCAGUGGAUUAGCUAUGGGCAAAGGCCAGGGCCUUUUAGAGACCAUGCUGAUCAUCUGGUAGGAGUUAAUAGCUAUCUUGUCAUAUUUAAGAAGGGGCAGAUACAAAUGGGUCUCGACUCCAUUUUUUUCACACAUAAUCUGCACUUUCAUACAUUAUACCCCAAACUGCCUUUCACACUCAACCCAAACAUUUCCAGCUUUGGCAAGAUUGGUGCAUCCUGCCAGCCAUCCAGGUCAGUUUUGGCAGGUCCCUUUCAUUAUCUGGUCAACGGUAUAUGUUUAUGAAAAUUGCAUGUUUUUGCCUUAUUGUUUUGUAAAAAUGGGAAAAUGGAAAACUGGAUGAACUGAUACCAGUGAUUUUUAAAAAGCUGUAAAGUUAAUCCCGUUUAGACACAGAUGGAAACCAUUAGGAGUGCUGCAGAGACUCUAAUCUCUAUUGGCCAUUCACUGGACUUCAGCCAGUUACUCGUGUGUUUAAUUGCAAAAUAAAAGAACAAAAUUCAUUUCAGAAGGCAACAAAAUACCAUUAAGGACAGUCGAAAAAGACAGUUAUGAUCGAGGAUUUUAUAUUUCUACCUUUCUGAGAAUGGAACAACCUUUUACAACUAUGGCGAUCCAUUGUUCAACUUUGAUGUAUUCAAAUGCCCCCAACAUUUUGAGGAACACGAUUUUUUGAAAAAUGGAAGUUGCCUGAGCAGUCAUUAGAGAUUCAAAAUGGAAACCUCUCUCCUGGAGCACAUUGUCUCCAAGGCGACUGUUUAAGCAUCACUCUGGAGGCUUGACAGGAGAGAAUGGGAAGGCCAUUGAGCUGUUUGUAUAAUUUUAAGACAGAAACAGCAACUAAUGGUUAUUGUGUACCUACUAUGUGCCAGGCCCAUAUCAAGGGCUUUUUCCAUCCACAUGGGCUGCCUUUUCUCUGUGCUCAGAACUCCCCUUAACACCAAAUCUGAAAAGGAUUAUGGGGGUCAUGAUGGUGAGAGCAUCAACCAUCUUUUCCACAUGGCCCAGAAUGCCAUGAAUAAUAAUAAGAGUAAUAUUAAGGCUACUAAUAGCAGUAAUAAAAAUAGCAAAUAUUCAUUGCCCAUUAACUAGGUGCCAGACUCUGUGCUAAGGCAUUUUCUAUGUAUUACCUCAUUUAAUCCUCACAAGAACAAACCCUAUUGAGUUUUUACAGAUGAAGCAGCUGAGGCUAAGAGAGCUUAAACUCCCAAGGUUAGGGAUGAGAGGAACUGGAAUGUGAGCACAAGGAGUCUGACUCUAGGACCUAUCCAUAUGUCCUCCACACUCCAUUGUCCACGAGUGGGCCAUGCAUGGCAGCAGAGGGAAGUAGGAGCUUCAGGUGACCCACCAGCAAGAGGAUGGUCACUUCUGGAGGCAGCCUGGUACAACAGAACAGUAGAGUCUGGGUCAGAUAAUACCUCAGAGGACUGCUGAGAGCAUUACCUGAGGUGUUGAAGGUCAAACCCAUUCUCCCUGAUGCUGUCUUUCCAAGGCAGAGCUCUCCAUGUUCCCCAGAGACAACUGGGACAAUUUGGCCACUCCCACAAUGAUGUGCACUUCUCUUUCAUCUUCUAGUUGGCUUGCAGCAUCUUCUAAAAUAUCCUCUCUCUUUCAUCUUUAUUCUUGCUUAACUACACCUCGUACUGCCAAAACCACCUACAAGCGAUGCCAAAGCUUAGCCCUCAGGAAUGGAGAGAAAGCAAAUAUCUGAUGGAGAGUCAAGAACCCACGCUGAGUUCUGUCAGAUCUGCCUAGGGUGUGGCCACACAGGCUUCCGGCAAGGACCAUUGGUAGCCCAGCCAACAGCCACUCCCUGUCCCACAGCCUCUACUAAUUCGCUGGGAGGCAUCAGGAACCAUGGACUCCAGGAAAAGCUCUACAGAAUGAAUCUGGAUUUGCCCGUGCCUGUCAGGAUGACUCCUCAGGAAUGAUGGUUAACCUUGGGAUGGAUCUGUGCUGGAGUCCUGGCCAAGGAGCCAUGAGAGGGCUGCUGGAGUCUCAAGGGAUGCAAGGAAGGAAUGUCCCCUUCUGAGGCCAUGGGAAAUUUUUGCUUGGGGCUGUAGCAACCAUCACAUAGCCACUUAGCGACAAGCCUGAGAACAGAAGCCAGCAUGCUGAAGUUGGUAGAGCAGGGACGUGAAAUGAGCCUGAGUCCUCAAGGAUGUUUUGAAAGCAAAUUAACCAACCCUGGACCUGCAGGCCUCCAUAUGUCUUAUCGUGUGAGACUGUAAGUCCCCUGGAGGUGUGAGCUUUUCCAGUUGGACCCUGUAUUAUAGGCAGCCGAAAGCACCCUGAUACAGCAGCCCAGUAGCAGCUGGUGGUCCUUGCCACCAAUGGGUAGCUACCAGGUCCAAAUCUUCACCAGGCUGGGGUGUCCUGGGAACUUUAGUCCAGUUAAUACCACCCCAGACCUGUGGACAAAAGGCAAGUGAAUGAGUGGGAAGUUAUAUAAUGAACUUUCCAUGAGGCCAGGAAAAGUGUCAAAGCACUUUACAAUCAAACCUAAUUGAAAACAACAGCUCUUUAAUCUAAAUUUACAACAUAAUCAGCCUUCUGGUUACCUAAUUAUAAUUAAAUUAGAUUGGCAGUGUAUUUCAUAUAUGCUAAUUAAAAGCACCAAAAGAAAAAGCUGCGUUCGGAAACUGCUGUGUCUAUUCACUCCCUGUGUGAACCAAGCAAGAGAGGGGGCUUCCCGGGCUGUACAUUUGGAGACCUGGGUUCUUGUCCCACCUCUGCUCAAACUGGCUGUGUGACUUUAGGCAAACCACUCAGCCCCUCUGAGUCUUCCUGUCCCUGAGAUUCCAAUCAAACACAAGGUGGAUUCGUUUUGCCUGUCUGGGACAUCGUACAACGCAAUGUACUUUUUCUGUGUCUGGUAAGAAGCCUGCUACAAUUUUUAUAUGUUUUAUUGCCAAAGAAUUGACGAGGCCAAACCAGCAAAUAUUUUGACCAUUCAAGCACUAAACAACCCCUGGGGCCCUGAGAUUGCACAGGCAGGAAGUCGGCUUGUGCAAGCUGCACAGUUGCAAAGUAGGGCAAACUCUCCAACAUUCACUUCAGUUGUGGCCCAGGAGAUAAUGAUCAAGGCAAAAUCUCCCAGAGGAUGGAGUCAGGGCCACAAAGAACAAUGGCCCAGAGAGCUCCUCCCAGGAAUUAGAAUAGGGUCUAAUCAGGGAAAUCCUCCACCCACGGUCCCUCCCACCGGCCUAGCCUCCCCAGUCCUGCAGUGCCAGGGGCCAGGGGCUGCUCUGCCAGUCUUCCCCUUUCUGCGUCUGUUUGUAUCGUAGUCUGUUCUUCCUGCUCCGCAUAUUGGCUGUGAAGGAACUGCCAGACCGUCUUCCACAGCAUCAGCCCCCUUGCACUUUGGUGAGAUGGUGUAACUGAUGACUCAUUUUCACCAAUGGCAACUUCCUAAUAGAGGUCGCCCUGCAUGAUCCCUCCCCAACAUCUCAACUGGCCUGUACCGGACACCAGAUUCAUCAUUUCUAUUCUAGACAAGAAUAUGUUGAUGGCCGGGAUCAGAAACCACUCAAACUAGCAGAAGCAUUUGUCAAGAGACUACUGGGAUCUCAUGGACUCUGGGAACAGAAAAAGUAUAUCCAAGCAUCAUGCAGACAAUCAGAGGCAUGGCAGGGAAGGAGGGCAGAAGGACACAGAUUCCUGAGUGCCAGUCAGUGAGAGAGUUACAAAGACACAGGUGGUACCUGCCUCAUGUUUCAGAGAAACCUCACAGGCUUCAAAGUCAGGCAAGCCCAGAUUUUUGGAACCACUGCUACCAUCUUGGAACCAUGAGGGAAGCCACAAGAGAACAAACCAAUAUUCUGAGGCAGACAUUGGGAAGAGCCUGAGGCUAGGGUAUUGUUGAGAAGCCAUCCCAUUGCAAGCCCUUGGAGCAGCCCUAAUUUGGAGCUACUUGUCACAACCCUUUACUGUUUAGACCACAUUUCCUUGCAGUUUCUGUGCCUUACAGCUCAAUUCUUCCUGAUUCAGUUACUUCUUUAGAAGAAAAUCCAAGUUAAGAAAAGGAUGUGUUGAUUAUCUUUUCUUUCUUUUGGUUUUGCCAAGUGAUUCACCACUGGAGCAAAGACUAACAAAAUCGUUAAAGGUGGGCUUUAAAAUGUUCGUUCCAAUGGAUGCCUCUGAGAUUUGAUUUUGAGGGUUUUCACCAUGCUACAAUCCAUUAUGAAAUGACUUCUGGCCUCACCACUGUAACUCUAUGAUGCUUCGCCCAGGGAUGUGGGGACCCCUUGAGGAGAACUUCAGAACCUUGGGCAGAUAGAGCAAAAACAGGGAGUAUUCCAACAAGCCUGGCAUUCCUGGGUGAUGGUUCCUCACCCAAGGAGAGACUCCUGGGCCUGUGACCCUGGUGAUGCUUUACCUGGUUAUAGUGAAGUUGACCCUUUUUAAGGAGUAGCAGCUAAAUUAUAAAAAGCAAAUUCAGUCCACAAGCUCGUUCUCCAGCACAGUGAGCAUGAUACAUUUGCUCACUAUGAUGCAGUUCACCUCAGUAAAUAGCAUCUUCAGAAAACACAUUAAAAUGUCAUUAGACUUUAUUGAAACUUGCUGAUAAUUUAGGUAACUUGACUGUCUCCCCCUCCUCCCAUGCUGUGCUCAGCAGAAACCAGCUCUUGCCAAAUUAUCAUUCAUUUUAUUAAAACAAAACUUCAGGCUGCUCUUUGGAUUUGCCAGACUCUCUCCUGGCCCUGGACCACUGCCCUUGCUCUUGUCUUCCCCUGGAAUGGCUGUCUCCCAUCAUGGCAAACUGGCAAACUGCCCGCCAAACUCCUCAUCAUCUGGCAAUGCAAAAUUCUAAUGUCUAAUGCCUCUCUGAAGCAUCACUCGGACCCCAGAGGCAACGCAGCAUGAAGGGUAGUUGAAGUCAGGCCCACAUAAUCUGGGAUCCAGCUCUGUCCCCAAUUAGCUAGGUGACCUCAGCAGAAAAGCUCAGCUUUCUUGAGCCAGGCCUCAGCUCCCUCUCCUGCAAUAUAGCAGUUUGAUUGCCCCUGCUUUGAGCUUGUGUGGAAAUGAGAUGGAAUCUUGGGAGAGGCCCUGGCACAGAGGAAAAGGCUCCAUGUAUUUUGGCUGGUGUUACUGGAUGCCUUCCCACAGAAUCAUAAAGCUUUAUAGCCAGAAGGGGCUUCAGAGUUUCUUCUCAACCUUCGAUGUACAAAUGAAUCACCUGGGAAUCCUGUCAAAACACAGGUUUUGAUUCAGUAGUUCUAGGGCAAUGCCUGAGCUUUGGGUGCGUUUCUUACAAGUUCCAUGGUGUUGCAGAGGCUGCUGGUCCCAGAAUUACACUUCGAAUAGCAAGGCUAUAGGAAACGUUGAGUUCCUGGAGCUUGCUUUACAGAAGAGGACAAAACCAGGUCAAGAGUAGAGAAAAUCUAGAAGCAAAACUGGCAAGUCAGCUGUGUGGGCCAUGAGAGGGUGGUUAGCUUUAUUAAGGGACAAGAAGGAACAGAUAGUGUUAGUCAGACAUUAAAAGUCACAUCUUCACAUAAAGUAAGAUGAUGAGACUUUACGGAAUGCACACAGCCUAACAAUGGCAAGUGUGAGCCAUGUGCCAGCCCUACGCUCCAGGAUACAUGGGACACAGAGGUGAGUUCUAGAGUGCAAGCUUCACAAAGCAGAGAAUCUGCUCAUCUUUUGCAUUCCUAUUUUCCUAGCUCCAAAUAAUACUAGCUCACUCUUAUUUAGUGCUUGAUAUGUGCCAGGAAGACAUUUGUCUUUGAUAUGUGUCUUGCUGGAAGACAUUUGAAAGCAGCUUUAUUGAGAUAUGACUCACAUACCAUAUAAGUCACCCAUUUAAAGCAUAAAAUUCAGUGGCUUAUAGUAUAUUCCCAGUGUUGUGCAACCAUCACCAUGGUCAAUUUUAGAACAUUUUAAUUACCCUUAAAGAAAAAGCUGUAACCCCACUAGCAAUCACUCCCCAUUCUCCUCUACCUCUUCCCAGGCAACUACUGAUCUCCUCUCUGUCUAUAUAGGUUUCCCUACUCUGGACAUUUCAUAUAAAUGGAAUCACAGAAUAUGUGGCUCUUUUUUGACUGGCUGCUUUCACUUAGCAUAAAGUGCUCGAGGCUCCUCCUU